AGAGUUUGAUCCUGGCUCAGAUUGAACGCUGGCGGCAUGCCUUACACAUGCAAGUCGAACGGCAGCGCGGGGGCAACCCUGGCGGCGAGUGGCGAACGGGUGAGUAAUGUAUCGGAACGUGCCCUGGAGUGGGGGAUAACUAGUCGAAAGACUAGCUAAUACCGCAUACGAUCUAAGGAUGAAAGUGGGGGAUCGCAAGACCUCAUGCUCCUGGAGCGGCCGAUAUCUGAUUAGCUAGUUGGUGGGGUAAAGGCCCACCAAGGCGACGAUCAGUAGCUGGUCUGAGAGGACGACCAGCCACACUGGGACUGAGACACGGCCCAGACUCCUACGGGAGGCAGCAGUGGGGAAUUUUGGACAAUGGGGGCAACCCUGAUCCAGCAAUGCCGCGUGUGUGAAGAAGGCCUUCGGGUUGUAAAGCACUUUUGUCCGGAAAGAAAUCGCCCUGGCUAAUAUCCGGGGUGGAUGACGGUACCGGAAGAAUAAGCACCGGCUAACUACGUGCCAGCAGCCGCGGUAAUACGUAGGGUGCGAGCGUUAAUCGGAAUUACUGGGCGUAAAGCGUGCGCAGGCGGUUGUGCAAGACAGAUGUGAAAUCCCCGGGCUUAACCUGGGAACUGCAUUUGUGACUGCACGGCUAGAGUGUGUCAGAGGGGGGUAGAAUUCCACGUAGCAGUGAAAUGCGUAGAUAUGUGGAGGAAUACCGAUGGCGAAGGCAGCCCCCUGGGAUAACACUGACGCUCAUGCACGAAAGCGUGGGGAGCAAACAGGAUUAGAUACCCUAGUAGUCC
rnacentral:rRNA from 1 species